AGUCAGUGGAGGAUUGUUUUAAGAAGGGAGCCCUAGAGCAAAAGAGGCUGAAAGCAGACAGGCUGGACUGAAUGGGUAUCUCUGCUCUGUUCCUCAGUGGCCAGCAGAGGAAAUUCUAGGGACCACAGGAUGAGAAAUAGGGAAGAGAAAAAAGAUGAUGGAGCUUGUGGAUUCAGAGGUUAGACGCACAGGUAUCCUAUCAAAUGAUGUGAUGGCAGAAGAGGCCCUGGUCAUCAGUUAAGGAAUAAUACAAACUCUGAAAACGGCUCUACUGUCAGAACGCUUCCUAGGGUCUGGGUUUUCUUUAGUGAGGAAGAUGUGCAAAUGAGGAAUUGAAUGGCAUUCAAUAAUUGGUGGGGUGAGGGGAGAAGAGGAGAUUGAACAUCAGCAUAAAGACAACAGGAAACCGCACCACCACACUCCUACCUAUGCAAAUGAUGGCCGUGGGAGCCCAGUGUAUGGACACGUGAAUCUGUGAAAGGGCUAUACCAAAAUCACAGGUGCAACGCAGAGGGCCACUGAGUCCAGAAUGUUGACAGCCUCACAGCCCAGAGUGGAGAAACCUGCUAGCUGCAGUCUGUCAGCUUUCCUGGUGAAAGCCUGGAGCGGGCUGAUGCCUGCUCCCUCUUGGCCAGUUCCCAGGCAUGUGGGUCGCCUAUACAAGUCUUAAUCAAGUCAUCAUAUCUAGCCAGUGUCUCCUGGAUCCCGUCACUUCUGAAUGAGAAAAAAAAUUGCGGACAAAUUUCUAUCAGCAGGAAGUUGGUGCUCUCCUGCGAGGCUGGAUGAAAAGCCCCUGUGACGUCAGCAGUCUCCUGCCUUCCCACGCCUGCUGCGAGCUUUGAAGCUGCGGGCUUCUCUGUUUAUGCCCCUAGCAGACCACCUGCCCCUCUGAGUCCCGUUCAGGCCCCACAACUGCUUGGGCUGCUCGGGAUGAGCCCAAAGCGUCCUAAUUAUGGACAUUGCUGGCUUGUUCUGGUCAAGUAAGAAGGGUCUGCCCCACAUCAAGAAACUCACCGGCACCAGCGAACCCUGGCCUCGCCAUUGUCCCCGCAGUAAGGAGCAUUUGAUUGAGGGCCAGGACAGUUUGCUGGAACUUAUAAAAGCCCUGUUUGAAGGAAGGGGCUGCCUGGCCUCCCUCUACACGACCGAUACUUUCCAAUUUGUAAUAAAGACUGUGAGAGAUAAACCA
rnacentral:lncRNA from 1 species